UUCAUUUUCAAUCUUCGCGUCUUCUCUUCUCCUUUUUUCCUUCUCCACGUCGUACUUUUUCUUCUCUUUCUCCACGUCGCGCCUCUCAAUUUCUCUUUCCUUCCUCACUUUUCCUUUUUCACCUCUCCACGUCGCGUUUUGCUUCUCUAGCGGCGUGAGGCCAUGACUGUAGUACGAUUUCGAUGCGAUGAAGGUAGCUGGCUCGUGAAGAAGAUGCAGACAGUGAGGUGUUGAUGGUUGCACGAAUCUAGCUCGUGGUCUGAUUUGGGGCUUUUCUGAUUUAGUACAAAUAGAUAAAUAUAAUAAACAACCGAAGAGCUUGGUCUUCAUUCACUCUGUCAACGUCACUGAGAUUUGAAUGUGAGCAAACCCUUCUCAUUCAAUGGCUUGAUUCAUGGAAAAGAAAUUCUGAGUCAGCUUCGUGAACUAAUAAAGUUGGAGCUGGACUUGUUUCAUGGAGAAGUAGAUGCUGCUGAACCACAAAAGCAAUUUGAAAAUUUGUCUACAGGUUUUGAACGUGACAUAGAGACUAAUAUGUUUCCUUCAUAUGAGAUAAACAAACCUUAUCGCCCAUUGGCAUCAGGGGAUUAUUCUUUUGGAACUGGUCUCAUUCUCAUGUUUGAUUCUGGUAUGAGACAUUUGAAAUUCUUGGAGAAAAAUUGCUUUCAUGUUAAUAAAAGCUCCAUGGUUAUCACUUUUGGUUGAUUUUGAGGACGAAGAAGUAGAUAUUGGCUCCAUGCAUGUAUCAGAAAAGUAUGCACUUUUACUUUGUUCUCAAUACUUAAAGAUUUGAGGUGCAACUUUUGUCGCAAAUGAAUUAAAUGGAGCUGAGCAGUUUUGGUGGUGUAGUUCAAGUAUAAAGCAACAUUUUGAAUGUGUUGUUUUAUGGCUAGAACGAGAAUUGCAGUAGAUAUUGGAUUCUGUGAAUUUGGCGUAGGUUUUGUAUUGAAAUUAAUAAUUGUUAAGAACAUAUCUUGUUUUUAAUUUUUAUUUGAACAAUGUGAUUUCUUAUU